GUGAGGAAUUUUCCGCAAUGGGCGAAAGCCUGACGGAGCAAUGCCGCGUGAAGGAUGAAGGCCUAUGGGUUGUAAACUUCUUUUCUCAGAAAAGAAUUAUGACGGUAUCUGAGGAAUAAGCAUCGGCUAACUCUGUGCCAGCAGCCGCGGUAAGACAGAGGAUGCAAGCGUUAUCCGGAAUGAUUGGGCGUAAAGCGGCUGUAGGUUGUUUAAAAAGUAUUCUGUCAAAGAUUAGGGCUUAACCCUAGAUAGGCAGAAUAAACUUUUAAGCUAGAGUUUGGUAGAGGCAGAGGGAAUUCCCGGUGGAGCGGUGAAAUGCGUAGAUAUCGGGAGGAACACCAAAGGCGAAGGCACUCUGCUGGGCCAAUACUAACACUGAGAGACGAAAGCGAGGGGAGCAAAUGGGAUUAGAAACCCGGGUAGUCC
rnacentral:rRNA from 1 species